AUUGAACGCUGGCGGCAUGCCUUACACAUGCAAGUCGAGCGGCAGCACGGGAGCAAUCCUGGUGGCGAGUGGCGAACGGGUGAGUAAAGUAUCGGAACGUGCCCAGUCGUGGGGGAUAACGUAGCGAAAGUUACGCUAAUACCGCAUACGAUCUAUGGAUGAAAGCGGGGGAUCGCAAGACCUCGCGCGAUUGGAGCGGCCGAUAUCAGAUUAGGUAGUUGGUGGGGUAAAGGCUCACCAAGCCGACGAUCUGUAGCUGGUCUGAGAGGACGACCAGCCACGCUGGGACUGAGGCACGGCCCAGACUCCUACGGGAGGCAGCAGUGGGGAAUUUUGGACAAUGGGCGAAAGCCUGAUCCAGCCAUGCCGCGUGCAGGAUGAAGGCCUUCGGGUUGUAAACUGCUUUUGUACGGAACGAAAAGGUUUGGCCUAAUAAGCUGAGCUCAUGACGGUACCGUAAGAAUAAGCACCGGCUAACUACGUGCCAGCCGCCGCCGUAA
rnacentral:rRNA from 1 species